UACUCGAGUGGCGAACGGGUGAGUAACACGUGGGUGAUCUGCCCUGCACUUCGGGAUAAGCUUGGGAAACUGGGUCUAAUACCGGAUAGGAGCCAUCUUUAGUGUGGUGGUUGGAAAGUUUUUUCGGUGUAGGAUGAGCUCGCGGCCUACCAGCUUGUUGGUGGGGUAAUGGCCUACCAAGGCGGCGACGGGUAGCCGGCCUGAGAGGGUGGACGGCCACAUUGGGACUGAGAUACGGCCCAG
rnacentral:rRNA from 1 species